rnacentral:rRNA from 1 species
UACGUAGGGUGCAAGCGUUAUCCGGAAUUAUUGGGCGUAAAGAGCUCGUAGGCGGUUUGUCGCGUCUGCUGUGAAAACUGGAGGCUCAACCUCCAGCCUGCAGUGGGUACGGGCAGACUAGAGUGCGGUAGGGGAGAUUGGAAUUCCUGGUGUAGCGGUGGAAUGCGCAGAUAUCAGGAGGAACACCAAUGGCGAAGGCAGAUCUCUGGGCCUGUACUGACGCUGAGGAGCGAAAGCGUGGGGAGCGAACAGG